ACUCCUACGGGAGGCAGCAGUGGGGAAUUUUGGACAAUGGGCGAAAGCCUGAUCCAGCAAUGCCGCGUGUGUGAAGAAGGCCUUCGGGUUGUAAAGCACUUUUGUCCGGAAAGAAAUCCUUGGCUCUAAUACAGUCGGGGGAUGACGGUACCGGAAGAAUAAGCACCGGCUAACUACGUGCCAGCAGCCGCGGUAAUACGUAGGGUGCGAGCGUUAAUCGGAAUUACUGGGCGUAAAGCGUGCGCAGGCGGUUUGCUAAGACCGAUGUGAAAUCCCCGGGCUCAACCUGGGAACUGCAUUGGUGACUGGCAGGCUAGAGUAUGGCAGAGGGGGGUAGAAUUCCACGUGUAGCAGUGAGAUGCGUAGAGAUGUGGAGGAAUACCGAUGGCGAAGGCAGCCCCCUGGGCCAAUACUGACGCUCAUGCACGAAGGCGUGGGGAGCAAACAGUAUUAGAUACCCGGGUAGUCCCA
rnacentral:rRNA from 1 species